GUCUAAGGACAUACCACCCUAAACAUACCUGAUCUCUUCUGAUCUAGGAAACUAAGCAGGGUAGGGUGGCAGCCCGUGUGGAUAUUCUCUUCUUAUUUC
rnacentral:rRNA from 1 species